rnacentral:rRNA from 1 species
GAUGAACGCUAGCGGCAGGCUUAACACAUGCAAGUCGAGGGGUAUUUAUCUUCGGAUAGAGAGACCGGCGCACGGGUGCGUAACGCGUAUGCAAUCUACCUUUUACAGAGGGAUAGCCCAGAGAAAUUUGGAUUAAUACCUCAUAGUAUAUAGACUCGGCAUCGAGAUUAUAUUAAAGUCACAACGGUAAAAGAUGAGCAUGCGUCCCAUUAGCUAGUUGGUAAGGUAACGUCUUACCAAGGCUACGAUGGGUAGGGGUCCUGAGAGGGAGAUCCACCACACUGGUACAGAGACACGGACCAGACUCCUACGGGAGGCAGCAGUGAGGAAUAUUGGACAAUGGGCGCAAGCCUGAUCCAGCCAUGCCGCGUGCAGGAUGACGGUCCUAUGGAUUGUAAACUGCUUUUAUACGAGAAGAAACACUGCUACGUGUAGCAGCUUGACGGUAUCGUAAGAAUAAGGAUCGGCUAACUCCGUG